UUCUUAUGGGCUCCACCCUCUAGGUUCUCUACACCAUUCUUGGAUUUAGAUGACCGUUCUCGAGGGGCAUGUUCGUCCUCUUCUGCAGAGGUGCCAGAAAAGGCAGCAGAAGAGGACUGAAAUGCCUAACAGGUGCUCAAGAACCGCUACCAUGAUGAAGACUCUCCCCCUGGUCAGAUGUACUUGUUUGGGGAGAGGCUGUUCAUCUACAGAGGAAGUGAAGUGCUACAGGGAUCUCUACCCGGGUCUGGAACAAGAUUUGGAGGUGGUGGUGAAUACUUACGAGAUGGUACCGCGGAGCCUCUGAAGAAGGGUGG